CCUACGGGUGGCUGCAGUGAGGAAUAUUGGUCAAUGGGCGCGAGCCUGAACCAGCCAAGUCGCGUGAAGGAAGACGGUCCUAUGGAUUGUACACUUCUUUUACAGAGGAGUAAAAUGCGGUACGUGUACCUCAUCGAGUGUACUCGAAGAAAAAGCAUCGGCUAACUCCGUGCCAGCAGCCGCGGUAAUACGGAAAAUCCGAGCGUUAUCCGGAUUUAUUGGGUUUAAAGGGGGCGUAGAUGGGUGGUUAAGUCAGUUGUGAAAUUUUGGGGGUCAAACCACGAAAUGCCAUUGAUACUGGCUGGUUUGAGUGAAGGAGAGGUAGGCGGAAUGCGUGGUGUAGCGGUGAAAUGCAUAGAUAUCACGAAGAACUCCGAUUGCGAAGGCAGCAUACCG
rnacentral:rRNA from 1 species